ensembl:misc_RNA Metazoa_SRP Metazoan signal recognition particle RNA
GCCAGGCGUGGUGGCUCACGCCUGUAAUCCCAGCACUUUGGGAGGCCGAGGUGGGGGGAUCACCUGAGGUCAGGAGUUCGAGACCAGCCUGACUAACAUGGUGAAACCCCGUCUCUA